AGCGUAGGCGGUUUGACAAGCCAGAGGUGAAAGGCAAUAGCUUAACUAUUGUAAGCCUUUGGAACUGUCGAACUUGAGUGCAGGAGAGGAAAGUGGAAUUCCUAGUGUAGCGGUGAAAUGCGUAGAGAUCUGGAGGAAUACCGAUUGCGAAGGCAGCCCCCUGGACAGUGACUGACGCUCAUAUGCGAAAGCGUGGGGAUCAAACAGGAUUAGAUACCCCCGUA
rnacentral:rRNA from 1 species